rnacentral:ribozyme from 14 species
AUGUCUGUCUUUCCAGUUUUCUUCUUUCUCCCUUUCUCUCUCUCUCAACAAAAGCAUCUUUUUUAAAAACUUCCUGCUUGAACUAAGAAGCUCAAGUUGCCAAGUUGAAGUGAAAGUUUUUUUUUUUUUUUUUUCUAUUUUGUGAAUAGAAACAUGUUUUUAAAAACAAAAACCAAAACUUGAAA